rnacentral:rRNA from 1 species
AUUGAACGCUGGCGGCAGGCCUAACACAUGCAAGUCGAGCGGAUGAAGGGAGCUUGCUCCUGGAUGCAGCGGCGGACGGGUGAGUAAUGCCUAGGAAUCUGCCUGGUAGUGGGGGAUAACGUCCGGAAACGGGCGCUAAUACCGCAUACGUCCUGAGGGAGAAAGGGGGGGAUCUUCGGACCUCACGCUAUCAGAUGAGCCUAGGUCGGAUUAGCUAGUUGGUGGGGUAAAGGCCUACCAAGGCGACGAUCCGUAACUGGUCUGAGAGGAUGAUCAGUCACACUGGAACUGAGACACGGUCCAGACUCCUACGGGAGGCAGCAGUGGGGAAUAUUGGACAAUGGGCGAAAGCCUGAUCCAGCCAUGCCGCGUGUGUGAAGAAGGUCUUCGGAUUGUAAAGCACUUUAAGUUGGGAGGAAGGGCAGUAAGUUAAUACCUUGCUGUUUUGACGUUACCAACAGAAUAAGCACCGGCUAACUUCGUG